AGUGAACGCUGGCGGUAGGCCUAACACAUGCAAGUCGAACGGCAGCACAGUAAGAGCUUGCUCUUACGGGUGGCGAGUGGCGGACGGGUGAGGAAUACAUCGGAAUCUACUUUUUCGUGGGGGAUAACGGAGGGAAACUUACGCUAAUACCGCAUACGACCUACGGGUGAAAGCAGGGGAUCUUCGGACCUUGCGCGAUUGAAUGAGCCGAUGUCGGAUUAGCUAGUUGGCGGGGUAAAGGCCCACCAAGGCGACGAUCCGUAGCUGGUCUGAGAGGAUGGUCAGCCAAACUGGACCUGAGCCACGGCCCAGAUCCCAAGGGGAGGCAGCAUUGGGGAAUAUUGGAAAAUGGGCGAAAGCCUGAGCCAGACAUACGGGGUGGGUGAAGAAGGCCUCCGGGUGGUAAAGCCCUUUUGUUGGGAAAGAAAAGCAGCAGGUUAAUACCGCGCUGUUCUGACGGUACCAAAAGAAUAAGCACCGGCUAACUUCGU
rnacentral:rRNA from 1 species